rnacentral:rRNA from 1 species
UACGAAGGGGGCUAGCGUUGCUCGGAAUCACUGGGCGUAAAGGGUGCGUAGGCGGGUCUUUAAGUCCGGGGUGAAAUCCUGGAGCUCAACUCCAGAACUGCCUUUGAUACUGAAGAUCUUGAGUUCGGGAGAGGUGAGUGGAACUGCGAGUGUAGAGGUGAAAUUCGUAGAUAUUCGCAAGAACACCAGUGGCGAAGGCGGCUCUCUGGGACGGUACUGACGCUGAGACGCGAAAGCGUGGGGAGCGAACAGG